UUUCGAUAGAAAUUUUUAACACUCUUUUGCUCUGUUAUUGGAGUGUCUCUCUACAUUUUGGCGAGCACUUUUCGUAUCUUGAUCGCAGCAUUCGAGUGCGCAUUGCUCGGUUGAUCUUGAUCGAUACGGUUUCCCAGCUGCCGAACUCAUUGUAGAAAAUGCCGCUCAGACUAGAAAUCAAGAGGAAACUUGCACAAAGAUCAGAAAGAGUAAAGUCUGUGGAUCUACAUCCAACAGAGCCAUGGAUAUUGGCGAGCCUGUAUUCUGGGACUCUUUGCAUCUGGGAUUAUCAGACCCAGACAAUGGUUAAAUCUUUUGAGGUUACUGAACAACCAGUUAGAUCUGCUAAGUUUAUAGCACGAAAAA